CGCGUAGGCGGUCAGCACAAGUCAGUUGUGAAAUCUCCGGGCUUAACUCGGAAAGGUCAACUGAUACUGUGCGACUAGAGUGCAGAAGGGGCAACUGGAAUUCUUGGUGUAGCGGUGAAAUGCGUAGAUAUCAAGAGGAACACCUGCGGCGAAGGCGGGUUGCUGGGCUGACACUGACGCUGAGGCGCGAAAGCCAGGGGAGCGAACG
rnacentral:rRNA from 1 species